rnacentral:tRNA from 1 species
GCUGAUGUAGCUCAGGAGGUAGAGCACGUCCUUGGUAAGGACGAGGUCACCGGUUCGAGCCCGGUCAUCAGCUCCAGGC